UGCAUAUGAUGAGGCUAUAUUUUUUCCUGACCAAUUCCCUGGAGGUAAAUCUGAUUUAAUGAGCCUGAUGC